UACGUAGGGGGCUAGCGUUGUCCGGAUUUAUUGGGCGUAAAGAGCGUGUAGGCGGCCAGGUAGGUCCGUUGUGAAAACUCGAGGCUCAACCUCGAGACGUCGGCGGAAACCAUCUGGCUAGAGUCCGGAAGAGGAGAGUGGAAUUCCUGGUGUAGCGGUGAAAUGCGCAGAUAUCAGGAAGAACACCCGUGGCGAAGGCGGCUCUCUGGGCCUUACCUGACGCUGAGGAGCGAAAGCGUGGGGAGCGAACAGG
rnacentral:rRNA from 1 species